GCCCAGAUAGUUUAAACAAAACAUCGGUCUUGUAAGCCGAAGCCGAGGGCUAAUCCCCUCUCUGGGUA
rnacentral:tRNA from 1 species